rnacentral:rRNA from 1 species
UACAGAGGUCCCGAGCGUUGUUCGGAUUUAUUGGGCGUAAAGGGUGCGUAGGCGGCGGAGUAAGUUGGGUGUGAAAUCCCGGGGCUUAACCUCGGAAUUGCAUUCGAUACUGCGGUGCUUGAGGACUGGAGAGGAGACUGGAAUUCAUGGUGUAGCAGUGAAAUGCGUAGAGAUCAUGAGGAAGACCAGUGGCGAAGGCGGGUCUCUGGACAGUUCCUGACACUGAGGCACGAAGGCCAGGGGAGCAAACGGG